rnacentral:misc_RNA from 1 species
UACAGAGGCCCCGAGCGUUACCCGGAAUUACUGGGCGUAAAGGGUGUGUAGGUGGCUAUGUUAGUCCCGCGUUAAAGCCUGGAGCUUAACUCCAGAGAUGCGUGGGAAACGGCACAGCUAGAGGAUGUGAGGGGUGUACGGAACUCACGGUGUAGGGGUGAAAUCCGUUGAUAUCGUGGGGAACACCAAAAGCGAAGGCAGUACACUGGCGCAUUCCUGACACUGAGACACGAAAGCGUGGGUAGCGAACGGG